rnacentral:rRNA from 1 species
GGGCAAGUCUGGUGCCAGCAGCCGCGGUAAUUCCAGCUCCAAUAGCGUAUAUUAAAGUUGUUGCAGUUAAAAAGCUCGUAGUUGAAUUUCGGGGUUCUACCGUUGGUCGGGCUUUGUCUGUACUGGUGUGUAGAAUUUCUACCUUCUGGGGAACCAUCAUGCUAUUAAUUUAGCGUGGUGGGAAACCAGGACCUUUACCUUGAAAAAAUUAGUGUGUUCAAAGCAGGCUUAUGUCUGAAUACAUUAGCGUGGAAUAAUAGAAUAGGACGGUGGUCCUGUUUUGUUGGUUUCUGAAUCACCGUAAUGAUUAAUAGGGAUAGUUGGGGGCAUUAGUAUUCAAUUGUCAGAGGUGAAAUUCUUGGAUUUAUUGAAGACUAACUUCUGCGAAAGCAUUUGCCAAGGAUGUUUUCAUUAAUCAAGAACGAAAGUUAGGGGAUCGAAGACGAUCAGAUACCGUCGUAGUCUUAACCAUAAACUAUGCCGACUAGGGAUCGGACGAUGUUAAUUUUUCUUGACUCGUUCGGCGCCUUACGGGAAAC